rnacentral:rRNA from 1 species
GACGAACGCUGGCGGCGUGCUUAACACAUGCAAGUCGAACGAUGAAGCCGGAGCUUGCUCUGGUGAAUUAGUGGCGAACGGGUGAGUAACACGUGAGUAACCUGCCCUUGACUCUGGGAUAACUGCGGGAAACUGUAGCUAAUACCGGAUACGACCCUCGGAGGCAUCUCCUGGGGGUGGAAAGAAUUUCGGUCAAGGAUGGACUCGCGGCCUAUCAGCUAGUUGGUGAGGUAAAGGCUGACCAAGGCGACGACGGGUAGCCGGCCUGAGAGGGUGACCGGCCACACGGGGACUGGGACACGGACCAGACUCCUACGGGAGGCAGCAGUGGGGAAUAUUGCACAAUGGGCGCAAGCCUGAUGCAGCAACGCCGCGUGAGGGAUGACGGCCUUCGGGUUGUAAACCUCUUUUAGCAGGGAAGAAGCGAAAGUGACGGUACCUGCAGAAAAAGCACCGGCUAACUACGUGCCAGCAGCCGCCGUAA